ensembl:lncRNA
AUUGAACUGUGCGGGUGUGAGAGGCAAAGAGAAGUGUGUGUCUGUAAGAGUGACAGCGAGCUUGUGGGUCCCUUUCUCCUGCUCUUGGUUAUUGUGGAUCGCAUGCGGUCACAUUCAAAGUGUCAGUACAUGCUGAAAAUAUGAUAUACACUCACUAGCUAAUGCAGACAGAACACAUGCGUGCAAUUUAUUUAUUCAGCUUCAGUAACCACCUUAUCCUAGUUGGAGUCACACUGGAACUGGAGCCUAUACCAGGCCACACUAGAUACCUACAGAUCAGCAUCUCCUGACUGGAAAUGGCCUCCAAGACCCUAACCAGUCUGGCUUCAGAGCGGCAUACGCCAUAGAAUUUACCCUUAUGGUUGUUACGAAGAAGCUUCAUGUCCUCUUCUCCUUGACCUUUCAUCGUCCAAUCACAAGUCUGGGAUUUCCUUGUCUUGAAAUUAGUGGGACAGCAUGGUGAUGGUUCGCUUCUUAUUUGGCAGGACUGUCAUAUCAGAAACUCGCAGAUCUCAGCAUGUUGGGCAGACAUCUUCCCAAGGAUGGGAGCUCAUCACUUGACACUUAAUCCCAGCAAGACUGUGUUGCUGUACAGUCCCUCCAGGAUUUCACGAUUUUGUGACUGCAGGAAUGAAUGCGAAAUGAAGUAAACGUCGCAGGUUUUCUAAUGUACCACAGAUUUUGUGGGUUUUGUGGGCUCACCCUAACCCUUAGAUUUUUGGCUGCAACAAUCACAAAAAACUCUGUGAAAUCCUGCACAGACUGGCUGUACAGUGGUGCUUGAAAGUUUGUGAACCCUUUAGAAUUUUCUAUAUAUCUGCAUAAAUGUGACCUAAAACAUCAUCACAUUUCCACACAAGUCCUAAAAGUAGACAACGAGAACCUAAUUAAACAAGUGAGACA